rnacentral:rRNA from 1 species
UACGUAGGGGGCAAGCGUUGUCCGGAUUUAUUGGGCGUAAAGAGCGUGUAGGCGGUUUGGUAGGUCCGCUGUGAAAACUCGAGGCUCAACCUCGAGACGCCGGUGGAAACCAUCAGGCUAGAGUCCGGAAGAGGAGAGUGGAAUUCCUGGUGUAGCGGUGAAAUGCGCAGAUAUCAGGAAGAACACCCGUGGCUAAGGCGGCUCUCUAGUAGCGGUACUGGACGCUGAGACGCGAAAGCGUGGGGAGCGAACAGG